UACAGAGGAGCCAAGCGUUGUCCGGAUUGACUGGGCGUAAAGCGCACGCAGGCGCCGCGCGCGUGGGGUGUGAAAUCUGGCCGCUUAACGGCCAGGCGCCAUCCCAUACGGCGCGGCUGGAGCCAUGCAGAGGGCGGUGGAAUUGCCGGUGUAGUGGUGAAAUGCGUAGAGAUCGGCAGGAACACCCAGGGGGGAAACCAGCCGCCUGGGCAUGCGCUGACGCUGAGGUGCGAGAGCGUGGGGAGCGAACCGG
rnacentral:rRNA from 1 species